rnacentral:rRNA from 1 species
UACGGGGGGGGCAAGCGUUGUUCGGAAUUACUGGGCGUAAAAGGCUCGUAGGCGGCCAACUAAGUCAGACGUGAAAUCCCUCGGCUUAACCGGGGAACGGCAUCUGAUACUGGAUGGCUGGAGUUCGGGAGAGGGAUGCGGAAUUCCAGGUGUAGCGGUGAAAUGCGUAGAUAUCUGGAGGAACACCGGUGGCGAAGGCGGCAUCCUGGACCGACACUGACGCUGAGGAGCGAAAGCCAGGGGAGCAAACGGG